rnacentral:lncRNA from 1 species
AAAGUGGUCAAGUCAGUCUGCUUUGUAGUCAUUCUGCUUCCAGUACCCCUAAAGUCUCUCACACAUCUAUAAAAUAGUUCAGAGUUUAGAAGCUGUUGCUCCCUGUAACCAACUUUUGUGUGUGCAGGGAGCAAAGUGGCCAUGCAGCUCCAUCACUCAAAUGCCUUCUCUGAACACCUGUUUGCCCUAUAGGGAGGCAUUUGGUUUGUGCUUCUCUGUGACAGAGGAGAUUCUUUGCUUACUUUUUUUGUUUCUGCAAGGACUAGACCCAAACUAAAUCUUACCAAAGCUGACUCUUGCUAUUUUGUCUUAAAGUGCCUUUCCAGGAGCAACUUCAUUAUCUAGGCAUGGUUAUGUACAGCUCAUGGCACCAUAACAACACCUCUCAGUGUAAAGGGGGAGAGCUUUCCCUUCUGGGCACAGAUGGAGUCAAGAGACUGAAUGAACCAUCCACAUCUUGCUGCAUUGUCUUCCAUGCUCUGUCAGCCUCUACAUCAGAAAAGCCAGAAGAAAAUGUGCUGGGAUCUGACUCCUGAGAACUAAUGCUCCUGAAAGAAGCCAGGGUGUGGAGUGGGAGGAGAGAUGACAAGACCAUAUGGGCUUAUUUACUACUCACAGAGGAGUUCAAGCAUUUCUGUGCCUGCUCUAAGUAUUGUGGAAUGUUGCUAACAAUUGUAAAUAAUUUUAUGCU